rnacentral:rRNA from 4 species
UUAUCGGAGAGUUUGAUCCUGGCUCAGGACGAACGCUGGCGGCGUGCCUAAUACAUGCAAGUCGAGCGGACAGAUGGGAGCUUGCUCCCUGAUGUUAGCGGCGG